ensembl:lncRNA
CGAGGCUGCACAGCUCUCAGCUCACGUGCUGCUUUCAGAGGAGGAAAUGAAUGCAACGACUCCUGUCCAGCUCAGGAGGGGGAAGAUUUAAAAAAGAAAGUUGUUAAGAGGGAACCUGAGACACACUGCUCAUUCUUGCUGAGCUUCCUGUGGAACAUCUCCUCCCAAUGAACUGAGGCACUCACCUCCCCACCCCUUCUCUUAACUUCUGUCUGACGUAAAAUCUGUUCCACUCUUCCACAUCCAUCCAGCCCAGAGCUUCGUAUUUGUAUUCAUAUCACGCACAAGUGAAUGACAUAAAGGACCCAAACAAUUACUAAGAAUUGCAUCAAGGCCAGGUUACUGCAGCUGAGGAAUCAUGAAGGAUCACCAUAGAGCUGUCAUAUCCUGAGAGCUGUAUAGGACCAUCAUAAACAUUCCCACACAGUAGCUGCUGUGCAGGGUGUGUUCAUUGCUGUGACUGUUAUUUGCCAUAGGGUCUGCUGAAAUGAGUUAGAGGAAUUCAAGUGCUGCUAAACCAGAUUCACCUCCUGAUGUGCACUUAUCCCUUAGAAUCCAAACAGAAAAAGUGCUGCCAAGGUGUAUUAAGUCACUUCUACAUCCCUUCCCCCAUUUUGCCUUUGAGAGGUGAUACAGCUCCGGAUUUUGUGCUUCACUGUCCAAGUUUGCAAAUGUGGUAUAAAUCUAAAGGGUUUUCAUGGCAGGAAGUGGUAGGUGGAGACGUCCUAAGGGCUGGAGCAAGGCUAAGACACAGCUGCCAGGGAAACUCUGGUGGGUGGGAGAAGGAGGAGACAGUCAUAUGCCUGGCAAGAGAGAGCCUUCCUGGGGAUGAGUGCAGCUGAGAGAGAGUGACAGAGUGCAACUGAGCAGAAGUGGCUGAAGCAGGAUUUGUCCAGCACUCUGUUUUUUUGAGGCCAGAAUGCAGCGCUUUCCACUGUGUCAUAAAGAAGUGAAACAGGAAAAUGGUGAGCCUUCUCAUUUACUCCUCCACACCUUUCCCCUAUCUCCAAGUAGAAGAGGAAUCUUUAUAGAAUGAAGAAAUUGUUUCCUUGCAACCAAAACAACCUUUUAACUUCUCCCAGUCUUGACUGUGCUGUUGUUACCAGCAGAAGUCCGAAAGCCCAAGGAACUCCAGCCUCUGCUGGAGUAGAAAACUGUUGUUCUGUACUGAGAUCUAGCCCUCAGAUUGGAACUGAAAAGUGGGCAUAGAUGAUGUUUAUGGGAAUUCCAGCUGUGUUGCUCUCCUUAGGGUCUAACACUGUUAUUUUUGAGACCAGCUCUGGGGACUAUCACUGAAAGGCCUGCUGGCACCAUCCAGGGACAUUCCAGCUAGCAGCCACUGCUGUCCACAAAGGUAUAGGGUGUGGGAUGGCCAGAGAACAUGCCCCUGCUAAAUGUGAUACUCACCAGCUUCAUGGGUUAGAGAGGGAAAAUCACUAGUAAUUAGGUCCUGAUUUUAUUAGGAGAUCUUGUGACAUUAAUUGAGAGGUCUGCCUGUGGGCUAAAACAGCUCUUAGAACGUUGCAAGUAAGAACUUGAUAUGAGGCAGUAGUAUAGGAGGAAAAUUAGAAUUCCAGACAGGAACUGUAGACUUACACAUAAAUACCGUUGUCAGUUCUGUCCAGGAGAUCACAAGCUUGUUCUGCACGUAAUGUGGAGGUGGCUUUGCUGGCACAGCGAGGCAAGGGUUUGUUAGCUACUGGCUCAGAGGCUUUAAUUUUAAUCCAUGCAAGUGUAGCAAUCUUUGACCUUGAUUGUACCAGGUUCCUAAGCCUGCUACUCAGUAGAGGGUCAACAGAACAAAAGCAGACUGGACAGUUGAUAACACCUUUUUUCCCUUCCUCAAUGGCUUUUGGACUUCUGUGUUUGGUCCCUUUUUUGGGGGAGUAGUAAAAAAUAUUUGUCACAUGAACUCAUUUUCUAUGGACUUCAGAGAGAGAGCUUGUAUUUAAAAAAUGCUUUCCAUUUUCUCUUGAUAGACAGGCUCUUCCAAAUCAAUUGGAGCAGAGUGUCUUGAAAAGCUAGAUAAACAAGUCUACCUAAUUCAACUUAAGACAUCAUCUCUACGUCCCUUUGCAAAAUCAAAACUGAAAGCACAGGAACUUCAGAAUACUGAAGCACACGCAUUCACGUAGGAAAGUAUACUUCAUUCUUUUCUAUGGGAAAAAUGAUUCACUUGACUUACAGUAGGAAAAGCGGAUGAUUUCCUCUGUUUAAGACCCAGUGGAGAAUUCCUUAUUUGGAAACUGUGUGCAGUUCCCUGUAUUUGAGAGAAUCUGUUUGCUGUUUCCUAAGGGUGUGUUCCUAACUGUAAGAACAGGCUGGGUUUUAAGGACUUUCUUCUCACUAGGAAAGCAUUCUGCCAAACUGCCUCAGCUGCUUCUUUGUCCAUAUGAGCAUUUAUCUUUCAUUUGGAUACUGAAGUUAGUUAUCUGUUUGGCGAGUACAGAUCGGUCACCUUGUUACUAUGCCAUCUCUGAAUCCUAACCUCAAAACAAGCUAAUAUAAGUUUUAGUCUUUUAACUGAAAAAACAGGUGUCUUGCUUAGGAAAAUAAAGGACAUUAAUUGAUGAGAAAAUAUGCAGCUGGAAUAAAUUAAAAGUCUCCCUGUGAAAGUCUGUAUUUACCGUGGCUCCGGGAGUGUUUUGCAUUUGUUCACAAAAGUGACAGCAUAGGAAUUUAUAGAAUGGAGGUUUAAUGCAUGGCAAAAAACUAGAAAAUGUCCAAAUGACUGGGAAAAGUCCUUGGGAUUUAUGUUUUGAGUUGAUACUUUAGUCAAACUUUGCAGGGUAGAACAAGGGGAAAUGGUUUCAAAUGGUUGUUAGGACAAGGGGAAACGGUUUCAGACUGAAAGAGGGGAGAUUUAGGUUGGAUAUAAGGAAAAAGUCUUUUACAGUAAGGGUGGUGAGGCUCUGGAACAGGUUGCCAGAGAUAUGGUGGAAGUCCUGUCCAGAGGCAUUCAAGGUCAGGCUGGACCAGGCUCUGAGCAACCUGAUCUAGCUGUCGAUGUCCCUGUUCAUUGCAGGGGAGUUGGACUAGAUGAACUUUAAAGGUCCCUUCCAAUUCUAAAGAUUCUAUAAUUCUAAAGGCACAACUGAUCUGAUAGAGUGUUGAGAUACUCAGGUCAGGUACCUAAUCCACAUUAUAAUGGUGGUAGUAACAUUACAGCACCAUCACUUGGUAGCCUUGUUUUCAGUGUUGGGCUGUAACAUAUGCUCUGGGAAACACCUCUUCAUUGUUCAUAUUUGUUGUUUAGCUUGAAUUGCGUUGAAUAUUGGUUUGUUAUUGGUUUGAGCAUCGGAAUUUCUCCUUAUGUGCUUUGAGAUUCCUUGGAAGAGAUCUACAUGCCCAGUGGCCAAAUGGAAACUGGGCAGAUGCUAUCAGUGUAAGUGCAGGAGGAAGAUGUGAAGAUGAGUGGACUAAUGCAGUAUUUCUCUUACUACAGUCAUGGUUGAAAGUCCCCUCCCAGACUGAAAGAGCUGGUGAAGCAGGGGAAGAAAAGUUAGGGGCCCUCAU